UACGUAGGGGGCAAGCGUUGUCCGGAUUUAUUGGGCGUAAAGGGCGCGUAGGCGGUCCGGUAAGCGUGUGGUGAAAGCCCGGGGCUCAACCCCGGGUCUGCCGUGCGAACUGCCGGACUCGAGCACUGUAGAGGCAGGUGGAAUUCCGAGUGUAGCGGUGGAAUGCGUAGAGAUUCGGAGGAACACCGGUGGCGAAGGCGGCCUGCUGGGCAGUGUCUGACGCUGAGGCGCGACAGCGUGGGGAGCAAACAGG
rnacentral:rRNA from 1 species